GGCACAGUGGCCAAGUGAAAAGGCCUUGGUCUCGUAAACCAAAGCUCAUGGGUUCAUUCCCCAUCUGGACCU